rnacentral:tRNA from 1 species
AUUUUAGUAGCUUAAAAAAAAGCAUAAUAUUGAAGUUAUUAGGAUAGUUAAAAUUCUCUAAAAUAU